rnacentral:rRNA from 1 species
GUAGGUGGCAAGCGUUGUCCGGAAUUAUUGGGCGUAAAGCGCGCGCAGGCGGUUCUUUAAGUCUGAUGUGAAAGCCCACGGCUCAACCGUGGAGGGUCAUUGGAAACUGGAGAACUUGAGUACAGAAGAGGAAAGCGGAAUUCCACGUGUAGCGGUGAAAUGCGUAGAGAUGUGGAGGAACACCAGUGGCGAAGGCGGCUUUCUGGUCUGUAACUGACGCUGAGGCGCGAGAGCGUGGGGAGCAAACAGGAUUAGGAUACCCUGGUAGUCCACGCCGUAAACGAUGAGUGCUAAGUGUUAGGGGGUUUCCGCCCCCCUUAGUGCUGCAGCUAACGCAUUAAGCACUCCGCCUGGGAGUACGGCCGCAAGGCUG